UAUAAUCUUGAUGUUUCUCCAUUUUUGUGUGGCUUCAUCGCUUGUGAAUUGUGAAACAUCUUCAAGAUUGUAAC
ensembl:miRNA ipu-mir-7569 ipu-mir-7569